AAGGCUGGCCCAUGUCCGUGACCUUAUCCCUAACUCGUGAACAAGCCGUCGCCGCACACCUGCAUUGCCCCUCCGUCUCUCUCUCUCUCUCUCUCUCAAAUCCGACGGCGGCACUGGUUUCUCUCCGGCGAGCAUCUCCCUGGCCCCUUGGCCCUACCCACGUACCCGGUGGUCGUGGGCAAUUCGUCUCCACAUGCCGGCUCUGUCGUUGGGUCUCUUUUCCCCCAACCUUGAUGGCGCCAGGGUUUGUUCUCCGGCGAGAUGUGCUCCUUUGGUGUUGAGGAUCCAUGUUUGGGACGUCAGAGCCGAUUCCUGAUCUAUUCCCCGUGGAGUCGCGGGAUUUCAUGAGCAUUGCCGAUACCCAGCUGGGUCGCGGCAGCAAGGGCACACAUCUGUGCGGGGACGCCUGCUUAGGUUUGCUCAGAAGCCACCAGCGGCUGGACCAUUAGCGGCUGUCCCCCAUGGAUGAGUUUGCCGAAGCGCGGCAAGGUGGACCAUACAUGUAAUGAAGGGCCCCAAAUCUUCCAGUCGGAUGGAGUCAGGGGCUUCUCUUAGUAUCAUCGAAGCUGAAAUUUGCAACGUGCUGAGCUUGGAAGCGGUGGGCAAAGUGGUGGAUUCCCCCCUGAAGCCGGUGUGUUCCAAGUUUGCGCUGAAGCUACCAGUGGAUGGACCAUGUAUUUUUGUCAAAUUCUUAACGAUGUCUCUGUAGUUCUUCGUGAUUUACUACAACAAUGGCUCCUAUACUAUUUAGUCGCUGAAAAUUCCAUUGUUAUCAAGAGCUUCCUUUUAUUCUUAGUAAUUCAUACAGCACAGUUCUGUCUAUUGAAGCUGUCCUAUUGACAACUGUUGCUGUUUCAUAUGAUACUCUCUUAACAGUAGGAACCUGAUUCAUGUAUGAUUUUGAAAUGGUUAAUCCUUUUCUGGUCUGCA